rnacentral:rRNA from 1 species
UACGUAGGGGGCUAGCGUUGUCCGGAUUUAUUGGGCGUAAAGAGCGUGUAGGCGGCUGGGUAGGUCCGUUGUGAAAACUCGAGGCUCAACCUCGAGACGCCGAUGGAAACCCUCCAGCUAGAGUCCGGAAGAGGAGAGUGGAAUUCCUGGUGUAGCGGUGAAAUGCGCAGAUAUCAGGAGGAACACCGGUGGCGAAGGCGGGUCUCUGGGCCGAUACUGACGCUGAGGAGCGAAAGCGUGGGGAGCGAACAGG